GCAUUUCCUAGUUUUUCAGCCACAUAAAGAAAAAAUGGCUUAUCAAGAUUAGGGAUCCCUAGGGCUGGAGCUGAUCCCAAUUUCUUUGAGAGCAUUAAAAGCUUGUUUACAAUUGCUAUCCCAUUCAAAAGGAUCUAUGUCUGCUCCUUUCAGGGCCUCGUAUAAAGGCUUUGCUAUGUGCCCAAGUACAGGCACUCACAAAUGGCAAAAUCCUGCCAUUCCUAGGAAAUCCUGCAGCUGCUUUCUAGUUUGGGGUUCUGGAAUGUUCAAGAUAGCUUCCCUUCAUUCUGGUGCUAUUUCCUGGGUACCAGGGGUUAGGACAUAUCUUAAGUAUUUAACCUCUUGAGUUGAAAUCUGGGCCUUAUGUGGUGAGACCCUAUACCCAUUAGCUCCCAGAAAAUUUAGCAAUUUAAUGGUAUUUUUGGCUGAGUCUCUUUUGGUUGUAUUAGCAACCAACAAGUCAGCCACAUAUUGGGUAAUAGCACGCUUAUUUAAUUGUAACAUCCUUAAUUCUCUAGCCAAUUUAUUUCCAAACAGAUGAGGACUGUCCCUAAACCCCUGGGGAAGAAUUGUCCAAGUUAAUUGAGAAACCAAAUGACUGUCAGAAUCAGUCCAUUUAAACACAAACACGAAUUGUGAAUCAGUGUCUACUGGAAUGCAAAAAGAGGCAUCCUUAAGAUCUAAGACUGUAAACCAAUCAGCAUCCCCAGAGACCUGGGCUAACAGUAUGUAGGGAUUGGGCACUAUAGGAUGUAUGAGAAUGACAGCUUCAAUGACAGCUUGAAGAUCUUGAACAAAUCUGUAGUCUCCAUUCAACUUCUUCACUGGCAAGACUGGCAUAUUACAAGGAGACUCACAGGGCCUUAACAACCUGAAUUGCAAAAACUUAGCCAUUAAUGGUUGUCUUUUUCAAGGGAUGGGGCACCAGGCUUAAAUUGGAUGUAAACUGGAGGAACGUUUAAUGCUUUGCCUAGAAUCUCAAUAUCCCAUACUGUAGAAUUUACUUGGGAGGCUACUUCAAUAAGUAAACUAGGCAAGUCCCCUAUUGACUUUCUUCCCUUAUCGUAGGAAAGAAGAAGAGCAAUCCCUCAUCUGCCUUUUGAUUUUCAAAAGAUAACACUGCAUCUGGGUCAACAAAUGCCUUCCCAACAGGUGGUGGGGCAUUUGGGCAUGAUAACAAAGGCAUGUGAGAAAAACCAAGAUCCCUGAAGAGCAGCUUAAAGGACAGUUAUAAUGGCUAGAGCUGGAAACACAUCAUGUAUCCAGAAGGAAAAGGGCAAGAAGAUUGCAGGAUCCACAGACCUGGUAUUCCCAAACAGCUGAACCAGUAUCAGUACACCUCUGGAUUUCCCAUUACUUGAGAAAAAUAAACUCUUUCGUUUUAGCCACU
rnacentral:lncRNA from 1 species